rnacentral:rRNA from 1 species
UACGUAGGGGGCUAGCGUUGUCCGGAAUCAUUGGGCGUAAAGAGCGUGUAGGCGGCCCGGUAAGUCCGCUGUGAAAGUCGGGGGCUCAACCCUCGAAUGCCGGUGGAUACUGUCGGGCUAGAGUGCGGAAGAGGCGAGUGGAAUUCCUGGUGUAGCGGUGAAAUGCGCAGAUAUCAGGAGGAACACCAAUUGCGAAGGCAGCUCGCUGGGACGUAACUGACGCUGAUGCGCGAAAGCCAGGGGAGCGAACGGG